UUCUUCUUAAUCAUGAUGACGGGAUGGUUUGUGAAUAACUUAACAAUUUAUGCGACUGUUCUAGAACGAUUCAGAUGAGAUGUCAUUUGUAUUUGUGAUCACCAAAAAGAAUUUGGUUGGAAGCUUAGGAUACUGACUUAAGUUGUCAAAGCUAGAAUCGAAGAAACGGCGUUGUUUGGUAUAUUUGCUGGGCAUAGAGGUGUAAUCGCUACUGGGUUUGCCGACUUGAGUAAGUAUAUCAUAGAUGAAGUGGUGAGAAGAGACCAGGAUGAAACAGAGACGGUUACCUGAAGACCGAUUUGGAUUUUUUGAAUGAGGAAUCACGAGGCAGCUCAUGCUGUGUAACUGCGUUGAUUAGAAGGGGCAACCACUUCGUGUUUAAGGCUAGAGAUUAUCAAGAUGUUCUUUGUUGAGCCGGCACUGAAGAGGCUCGUACAUCUGAUCAUAGGCUUUGCAGGGAAGAUGGAAAGGAACGGAUUAAGGCUCUCACAACAUUCUAUUCAUUCUUUACUUGUAAAAAGAUACUGCGCAAUUAAGUUCUUUUACCUUAGCCACUUACAUUCUGAAAUCGCCUGAGUUACCAAACUCUGCUUGUGUAGAAGCUUGUGAGAUUUCUAUCCAUUUUCAUGAAAGCUAAGAUUAAUGAUCAAGCUAUUGUAUCAUGUAUAUUAUGUUUUAUUUCUAUGUAUACGGAGUGGGUCUAUCCAUUAAUUUCACUUGAAAAAAUAUUCUUUUCCAUU